GCGUUAUCCGGAAUCGUUGGGUUUAAAGGGUCCGUAGGCGGUUUUAUAAGUCAGUGGUGAAAUCCGGCAGCUCAACUGUCGAACUGCCAUUGAUACUGUAGAACUUGAAUUAUUGUGAAGUAACUAGAAUAUGUAGUGUAGCGGUGAAAUGCUUAGAUAUUACAUGGAAUACCAAUUGCGAAGGCAGGUUACUAACAAUACAUUGACGCUGAUGGACGAAAGCGUGGGGAGCGAACAGGAUUAGAUACCCUGGUAGUCCACGCCGUAAACGAUGGAUACUAGCUGUUCGGAAGCAAUUCUGAGUGGCUAAGCGAAAGUGAUAAGUAUCCCACCUGGGGAGUACGAACGCAAGUUUGAAACUCAAAGGAAUUGACG
rnacentral:rRNA from 1 species